UUAAGUAGGAAUUUAAUUUUGGUUCCGAUUGAACGUUUUUCAGUAGUUUUAAGACAUGCAAAUCGUUUGUACACGGUUAUUAAAUAUUCAAUUUAUUGAAUAAUACAUUAAAAAAAGAGUAUAAUAAUAUGUAAAAUUAUUAUUUUUAAUUAAAUGUACAAGGUGUAGGGGUGAGUAUUGUAAAUGAGAUACCCUUGUAGACUUCUUAAAUAGGAGAUAGGUUUUAAAUAAACUAUAAUAAUCAAGAAAAGAUUAAAUUAAAAAGGAAAUUUUCCGCUAUAAGGAUUCAAUUUACAUUCGAUUAGGUAGUUGGAAGGGUAGAAGCCUCCCAAGCCGACGAUCGAUAGUCAAGUUUGACAGAACAGAUGACCACAUUGGGAAUGAAAUAUCCCAAGUAGCAUUAAGCUACCAGCAGUCAAGAAUAUUAGUCAAUGCUCGCAAGAGUGAACUAGCUAACUGAAAUCAAAGGUGUGUCACUUUUGAUAAGGUAAAGGAAAAUAAAUGAUAUUACUUUACUAUUAGUGUCGUCCAAGUACUCGUGCCAGAAGACUCGGUAAGGCGAGAGACGCAAACGUUAGUCGUCCUGAUCAGGCGUAAAGGGUUUGUAGGCGGCUUUAAGUAUGGAUUCCUUCUAAAUAACAUUACUCUAUUUUUAGGGUAACGACUCCUCCCUUUGGGGUGUGGAGCAGAAGGGAAAAAUCAAUUAAAGCUAGAAUCAAAUAGAGGUCAAAUUAAAUAAUACUUGGUGUAAGAUUGGUAUCUUUAAAAACCAAGCGGAAUACUAACGGCGAAGGCUUUUUUCCAUUAAUGAUUGACGCUGAGAAACUAAGGUGAGGACAGAAAAAAGGAUUAGAGACCCUCGUAUUCCUCACUGUCAACGAUGAAUGGUAGUUACUAGAUGUCAGGAUAUAGUACUUAAAUAUAUAGGGAUAUAUCUAAAAAAUCUAGAGACGAUGUUAACACGAAAACCAUUCCGCCUUGUGAGUACGACUGCAAAGUUGAAAACAAAAAAAUUAGUCGGUUUCGGAGCAAACGAAGUGAAGCAUGUUAUUUAAUACGAUACCCCGCGUAAAAUCUUACCAGUCCUUGCAUAAAACUUUUGUUAUAAUAAAUUAUUUUUUAUUUGAUUUAACUAUAGUUUAAUUAUUAUAGCUUAGAUUAAAAUAAAUUAUAAUAAGUUAUAAUUAAAAGGUUGUUCUAUUUCUAUAAAUAAACAUAGAAUAUGGACUUCAUACAGGUGUUGCAUGGCUGUCUUCAGUCCGUAUUGUGAAAAGUGAGGUUAAAUCCGCUAACGGACGCAAUCCCUGUUGUUAAUUUAUACUUAACAAUUCAUGAAAUCGAUAAGAUUUCAUUUGGGGCUAAGACAAGCCGUUAUGGCCCUUAUGGACUGGGCUAUCGACGUGCCACAAAAACUUUGACAAAGUGAUGCAAAACCUUUCUUUUUCCCUCCCCUUAGGGGAGAAGGAAGUUACAAUUUUUAGUUAAUAGCUGGUGUAAUAAAGAAAAUAAGGAAGAGCUAAUCAUGAAAUAAAGUUAUAAUAUAUUAUUUGUACAGAUUGUCACCUGAAAUUCGGUGGCAUGAAGCAGGAAUUUCGAGUAAUCGUUGAUCACUAGGCGCAACGGUGAAGUAUUGAUCCGUGAUGAACUAACUGUCUGUCGCUGGGAAGAAGCUUAUUUUGGUGGAAAAUGGGGUAAAAUCUUAAUUCUAUAUUAAAAAAGCUUAUUUUUAUUUCUUAAGUAGUUUUAAUAUUAAUUAUCAUUGAACUUAUUUAAGCCAUUUGAGUAACAUCUCAAAAGUCAUAGCAAGGUAGUUGUACUGGAAGGUGCAGCUGGAUAAUGAAACUU
rnacentral:rRNA from 1 species